rnacentral:lncRNA from 1 species
CUUUCUUAUUUAUUUCUAAUUUAUUUUUAUUCCAAUUAUGUUGACUUAUCUUUCUUUCCACAUUUCAUACAUUAUGUUUCUUACCAAAAUCUACAAUGGUGGAAUCUAUUCUCUGUAAACUUUCAAGCAAAGCAAACAUGUGUACAUCCAGAUGUCCUGAAGCAACUGAAGAUCCACAAAAGAAGUGAAAAUAGCCUUAACUGAUGACAUUCCACCACUGUGAUUUGUUCCUGACCCACCCUAACUGAUACGAUAUAUUCUUCCCCGCCCUUAAGAAGGUAAUAGCUGAUAAUACCUAUUCCUGUAUAAGUCUGAAUUAUUGGUGACAUCUGAGCAGUAACCAUAGUGAUAUGGGGGAAAGAACCACGUGGAUUUUGAGGCAUGUUUGGGGAACAUAGGAGAGUUUUGGCUGGGGAGAUUACAACUCAUAUUUUAAAGGAAUCAUCUGAUUGCUGUAAGAAGGGUCUACUGGGGCUGGGGACAAGAAUAUAAACAGUUUGGAAUCAAUUGCAAUAAUCAAGGUGAUAGAUUUUGGUGACCUUGCUUCAGAGUUGCAGUUCUGGAGUUAUGAUGGAAUAACUGGAAUUAGACUUGCCCUUCUGAAGUAAACAACUAGAAAGCUGUACAACAGUCAUAAGUCAACUGUUUUCAAGCAUUGGAUAAAACAACACUGUGGUCUUUGCGGGAAGAAAAACACAUGAGGAAGUCAGGGACCCCAAACGGAGGGACUGGUUGAAGCCAUGGCAGAAGAACGUGGAUUGUGAAGAUUUCAUGGACAUUUAUUAGUUCCCCAAAUUAAUACUUUUAUAAUUUCUUAUGCCUAUCUUUACUGCAGUCUCUAAACAUAAAUUGUAAAGAUUUCAUGGACACUUAUCACUUCCCCAGUCAAUACCCUUGUGAUUUCCUAUGCCUGUCUUUACUUUAAUCUCUUAAUCCUGCCAGCUGAGGAGGAUGUGUAUCACCUCAGGACCCUGUAAUAAUUGCACAAAUUAUACAGCUUGUGUGUUUGAACAAUAUGAAAUGUGGGCACCUCGAAAAAAGAACAGGAUAACAGCAAUUGUUGAGGGAAUAAGAGAGAUAACCUUAAACUCUGACCGCCAGUAAGCCGGGCAGAACAGAGCCGUAUUUCUCUUCUUUCAAAAGCAAAUUGGAGAAAUAUCACUGAAUUCUUUUUCUCAGCAUGGAACAUCCCUGAGAAAGAGAAAGCACACUUUGGGGUAGGUGUCUGAACUGGCCCCCCUGGGCAUGGUUGUCUCUUAUGGUCAAGACUGCAGAGGUGAAAUAGACUCCAGUCUCCCAUAGCGCUCCCAGGCUUAUUAGGAAGAGGAAAUUCCCACCUAAUAAAUUUUUGUCAGACUGGUUGAUCUCAAAACUCUGUCUCCUGAUAAGAUGUUAUCAAUGAUAAUGGUGCCCGAAACUUCAUUAGCAAUUUUAAUUUCACCCCGGUCCUGUGGUCCUGUGAUCUCACCCUGCCUCCACUUGCCUUGUGAUAUUCUAUUACCUUGUAAAGUACUUGAUGUCUGUGACCCAUACCUAUUCGCACACUCCCUCCCCUUUUGAAAAUCCCUAAUAAAACCUCGCUGGCUUUUGUGGCUUUUGGGGCAUCAUGGAACCUACCGACAUGUGAUGUCUCCCCCAGAUGCCCGGCUUUAAAAUUUCUCUCUUUUGUACUCUGUCCCUUUAUUUCUCAAGCUGGCUGAUGCUUAGGGAAAAUAGAAAAGAACCUAUGUGAAUAUCAGGGCAGGUUCCCCAAUAAUCUACUAUUGAGAGAGGGGUUGGUAAAGACUGAAGAGCAAGAGGUGGCAGUUUUUGGUCUACUUUUCUACCCUUUUCCUGGGGCAUUAACCAUAUGACAAUGGAAGGAUAAAAAAAAAAUUUUAUCAUACCUUAGAAGCAACAUGGAAGUAGGUAUUUUCUGAGCAACAAGAAAACUCAGAGUGUCUACUGUUUGCUGUACUCUGAGUCCAGACCAUGGUGAAAGCCAUUUCCAACUGUUACGUCUCCAAUCAGCAAUGGAAAUAGAGGGACCCAAGUGACUGAACACGGAGCAUAGUGCUGAGUGUCAGAAGAGGUGAGACCCUCAAUGGG